rnacentral:rRNA from 1 species
UCUAAUACCGGAUAUGACCUUCCUCCGCAUGGGGGUUGGUGGAAAGCUCCGGCGGUGCAGGAUGAGCCCGCGGCCUAUCAGCUUGUUGGUGGGGUAAUGGCCUACCAAGGCGACGACGGGUAGCCGGCCUGAGAGGGCGACCGGCCACACUGGGACUGAGACACGGCCCAGACUCCUACGGGAGGCAGCAGUGGGGAAUAUUGCACAAUGGGCGAAAGCCUGAUGCAGCGACGCCGCGUGAGGGAUGACGGCCUUCGGGUUGUAAACCUCUUUCAGCAGGGAAGAAGCGCAAGUGACGGUACCUGCAAAAGAAGCACCGGCUAACUACGUGCCAGCAGCCGCGGUAAUACGUAGGGUGCGAGCGUUGUCCGGAAUUAUUGGGCGUAAAGAGCUCGUAGGCGGCCUGUCGCGUCGGAUGUGAAAGCCCGGGGCUUAACCCCGGGUCUGCAUUCGAUACGGGCAGGCUAGAGUGUGGUAGGGGAGAUCGGAAUUCCUGGUGUAGCGGUGAAAUGCGCAGAUAUCAGGAGGAACACCGGUGGCGAAGGCGGAUCUCUGGGCCAUUACUGACGCUGAGGAGCGAAAGCGUGGGGAGCGAACAGGAUUAGAUACCCUGGUAGUCCACGCCGUAAACGUUGGGAACUAGGUGUUGGCGACAUUCCACGUCGUCGGUGCCGCAGCUAACGCAUUAAGUUCCCCGCCUGGGGAGUACG